UGUCGGCUCUUCCUAUCAU
rnacentral:snRNA from 1 species